rnacentral:precursor_RNA from 1 species
UGCACAACAGAGCGAGCCAGCUGGACGCGGACACCCUGACUCACUCUGUUGUGCAGC